AUUCCCUGUUUAUACUUGCAUUUUUUCUCUCAAUUGAUGCUUAGAAUUAUGUUUCAAGUUGGAAAAAAAAUGCUGUUUUAAUUUCCUUUGCACCAAAUUUAAUAAAUUAAUUAGGAGAGAAUAGAUCUCUUUAAAACUGAGUCUUCUUAUCCAACUGCCAGUUUUAACUGAGUUGUUACCAGUUUAAGAAGUGAGACCUUUUAGAUGCUUCACUACCUGACAUUUCUAUUACAAUCCAAAUUCUUGUACUUGUUUAUAAUUUCUGUGGACUUCAUUCUUCAAAAUUACUGCAUCUUUCGUAAUCAAGGACUAAAGAGAUUUUGACUGCAGGUGGCGAAUAUGUGGACAAGAGGAUCAUAGAUAUAUUCUGCAGUGGUUCCAACCAUAGCAUUACUCAAAUGCUGUCAUUACUUCCCCUUUCUGGAAGCUUCUUGCAUCUUUUGUAUCUCAAAGGGCACAAUUUUAUAUAUGUACUCCCAAGAAUAGAAGUGACCUGCUUUUUGGCAAGUGAUUGCCUGGAAUGUUGUUAAAUAUUUCUCCAUGCUCUGAAUAUAUCUUGUGCUUUCUUUUAUUGUUGUAUUUACCACAUUGCCUUUUUAUACCCAUGUUAUACUUAAAAAUAGGAGAUUUGUAGAUAGUAAAAGUAAUUAAUGCAACCCCAUGGACACCUUAUCAUGCCCUAAGUGAUAAACAGCUUGUCUCACAAGCUGAGUGCCUCCCCCAUAUACCCGUUUUGGUACCGUUUGUAAGACACUUGUUGCUCAUUUGAAUUAUGAGCCCGCAGUUUUUAGAGAGGUUCCCUAACAAGAUUUUCUUAAAACAUUCGUGUCAACUGUAAUAGAACAUCUGUACAUCUGUACAUUAUCCUUUUUAUUGAACCUAGUUAGGUCUCAUUCUAGUACACGACCUGGGCCUGGCUGUAGCUGACCUCUUCUCCAAUGCUUGAAUGCCGUCCCUCCUGUGGUUGUGUAAGGGAGAGAGGGCUUUGCACUGACAUUCUGAACCAUCUUGUAGGACACAUGUUCCAUCAUUUUCUUGGUAGCACCAGAAUUUUCUUUGGGAUUGGAGCAAGAAACUUAAGGUACCAAAGAGACUUCACUUUUAUUUAUAUUAUUUUCAUUUGUUUUCUGUUUAUCCUAAGUGGGUUGACAUAGAUGGCUGUGUUUAUUGGAGGUUUAAUUGUCUACAUCCAACGUAAAUUACAUUGUCAUCGUGGAACUACUAACUGCAUUGCCUAACCUGUCUCAAUAGACAGCCUUGACUACUAGUACAAUGAAAUGGGACCAGCAAGACUGAAUGGGUUAUUAAACAAUUUAAAUCAAACUGUGGUUAAUUUAUCCUCCAUCUUCCAUGCCUGCUUUCUAGGGGAGACAGAGUUAACCAUUUGUGGUAUAGUGGUCAACAAAUUUUCCAAGCUUCUAUAAGUUGAUGUGGCAUUUAUUUUACAAAUAUGCCAUCAUUGUGGUAUAUGUUGUUUAGAAACUUAAUUUUUUUGUAAUAUAUUGUGGACAUAUUUCUAAACCAAUAAAUACAGCUUACCUAUGGUGACUUUUGAUACGUAUUGUAAUGGAUUUAUCUGUUUCUCCAUUUUGGGAAGUGUAGGUUAGCUAUUUUUACUGCUCAUAUCGCUUUGUUAUGUGUGUAUAUGUCUAUAUUAAUGCACUUGGAUUCCUAAUUUGAUUGGAUUUCUAGGUAUGGUGUUGGAUCAUCAAUUAUGCAUACUUCUAAUUUUAGUAGAUAUUGUGAAAUUGGCCUUGAAGUACUUCCCAGGCCAGCACAUAGCUGUGGAAUAAUGGCAGUGCUGAUUUUCACUGAAACUUGUACGUGAUGGAUAUUAUCAAUCCUUUAAAUUUUUAGCCAAUCUUAUAGGUGAAAAUAAUAUUUACAACUUAAGUCUAAUGAAAAUAGUAAUGGCCAUGAAUACAAAAGACCAAAUAAUAAUGGGUUAUUUAUUUUUAAAAGUGCAUAGCCCACAUUCCCUCUAACCACAGGAGUCAUCUUGGGAGUCACAGGUAGAAAUAUUGACCUUUUCUAAAUGUAGUGCUUCUUGGAGGUUCAUAAACUUCCUAGGCAUAACUUACAGUGUUUUUUUUUUCUUUUUCUAUUUAUUUACUUAUUUAUUCUAGCAGAAAGAUAUCAGGGGCCAGAUUUUAAUAUCAAAGAAAGAAUUCCAGACUUGGAACACACAGGAUAGGGGCAGCUGCUUCCAGGGCAUCAUGACAAACUCGUUUCUUACUCUUCUCUCUUUAAGCUUUUCCAACUCAUCACCUCCUAUUGUCCCUUCAGGGUCCAACCCCUAGAGGCGUGUCCUGCCCUCAAGCGCAUGCUCAGGCUGAGUCAGCCCGCCUGUACGUUUUCCUUCUGCCUCCUGGCUUGCAUCUACUUUGCAAGGUGGAGGAUUUCCUUCUGCCUCUCCGUCUGCUCUUCCAAAGGGCUGUUUUCUUCACAAGCCCUUUCCAUGUCGAGUAUUACCCUAUUAUUUCCUUUUUGAAUAAUCUGGAAGGAUUUCUGGUACUUUUUUCCUCCAGUAAUAAGUGGCUGCUGCAGGGAAACAGCUGAAACAAUUUUAGAAUUGCCAGAAUCAUAUAGUGAACCCCUAUGUUCUCUUCACCCAGAUUUCCCCCCACAUUUUUGUGUUAUCUUUCUCAUUUUCUCUCCCUUUCUUCCUCAUCCUUCCCUCCCUCUUUGUUCCUCUCCAUCUCUCCUCCACAUUGGUAUUGUAUGAACUAUUUCUGAGUAAAUUGCAGAUACUCUCUCUUUAACCCAAAAUAUUUUUCAGCAUUCACUUUCUAAGAGCCUGAAUAUUCCUCUUAACAUUAACCUAGGUAAAGUUUUAAAAUCAUCAAAUUUAUCAGUAGAACAAAUAGAUUACAUUAAUAUACAGUCUGUAGAUUUCUCCAGUUGUCCAAACAAUGUUCUUUAUGGCAAUUUAUCCCUUUAUUCAGGACCCAAAAAAGGAUCCUGUAUUGCAUUCAGGUGAUAUGUUUCUUUAGUCUUAAUUAAUCUGUAACAGUUUCUCAUUGUUUUUUUGUCUUUGAUAGCUUUGGUGUUCUUGAAAAUUAGUGGCUAGUCUUUUGUAAAAGAAUCCCUCAAAUUUUGGAUUUUUUGAUAUUCCUUAUGAAUUAUUUUAGGUUAUGCAUUUUUGGCAGGAAUACUUCAUAACUGAUGUGUGUCUGCCUCAGUGAUUCAUUCAUAUCAGGUGGCAAAUGAUGUUAUUUUGUCCUGUUGUCUGUAACAUUAAUUUUGAUCACUUGGUUCAAUUAGUAUCCACUAGGUUUCUCCACUUUAAAGUUAACAGUCCUUUAUAAUGAAUAUUCUGUGGGAAGAUCAUUUAAAACUAAGUAAAUGUCCUAUCAUCAAACUUUUGCACCAUCGCUUUAGCAGUUACAGGUAAUUCUUAGUAGAACCAAUGGUAAUUUAAAAAAAUAUCUGUUACCAUUUAUGCAUAUUGAUUAUUCUGCUCAGAGAAGUUGUGUAUCAUGGCUUGUGAGAAAUGUUCAACAAAUAAUUUUAUAACUGAAAAUACUGAGUGAGAGAAUGAGAUGUGAUCCACAGAACAAAGCAGGAAAGGGGUUAUCUAAAGAGCUUAAUAUCUAACUGUGGAAAGAAAUGCAAGUGGUACACUGAGCUCUUUAAGGGUGGUUGAUGAAAUACAUAUGCUUAGCAAGGGAGAUGAGUCUGUUUUUAAAGGUAAUAAGUUCCAGCCAGGGACGUAAUGAUGCCAUAAUUGGCAAGGUGUUCCGUAAUUCUCUUGAGCUGACUGUAAGGCAUGGCAGAGGACUGCACUGUUAGAUGCGUCUGAAAUUCUAUGUAGAUGGUAAAUCACUGGUGUUCCUCCUUAGCAUUCUUUUGUCAUUGCUCUGGUAAGGUUCCAUAACCUUUUGGAGUGUCUGAGGUUGACAGUGAAGGAACUGUACUUGAUGUGCUAUCAAAGAUGAACUCAGCCUCCUCAGCUUUUAUUCGUGUCUCUCCUUUCACCGUCCCUGCAGCAGGCCCUCCGUGGAGACGUCUGUGUAGCAGAUGCAGACCUGCUGCAGUGGUUAUGUUUCUAAAACCUAUACAACUCUCAGUUCUGUUCCAUGUUCUCUCUAAUCAGGAAACUAUAAGCAGUCUACUAAUUGUAACUCCUCCUUGUAUGCUAGUUAAAUAAGGUUUCCCAAAUACAGGUAUUUAAAUUUUGGAAAGUGACUUUAACUGAUAGAAUAUUCUUAAUCAUCCCGAGUAUGAGGAGUUUUAAAAUCUGGCUUGUUGCUCAGGUUCAGGUCACCUGUUAUGAAUAGACAUGUCAUACCAGUUUAUGAAUUGUAAAUCAAUGCAGCGUAUUUACAGAGGAGUAGACAUGACUUAAGUUUUUGGUUCAAAUGGUGAUCUGAAUAUUCCCUGUAUCUAACUUUGUGCUUAGUCUUUAAUGGAAGGCUUAGUAAAUAUUGUCAUUAAAUCCAAGUAGAAGAAAACAGGAGUGCCAAAGUUACUGAUUGUAAUGAAAUACCAUCUAAAUGAAUGUGCAGUGAAUAAACUUGUCAUUUGGGGAAAGGGAAUGAUUGAAGAAGGCAUUAAGGGACCAAGGGAGGUCUGUUGCCAUUUUCAUGUAAAUAAUGUUGAUUUCUAUGUAAUACUAAAGCGUAUCUUGGAAAAUUUGAAAACUGCCUGGCUAAAACACAUCUUCCUCUCUUCCAUGAGGCCACAAAAAUACCAGAUUACUGUUUUGGUGUUGAUAUUACUAAGACAGUUUUAUUACCAGAUUCAUAAAUCCAGCCUCAAUCUGGCACACCUUUAUAAUUUCCAAGAAUAAAGGGAGUUAAAAAAAAUACAUAGGAAAUCACAACAGGAAACCAUGCUACUAUUUAUUCUCUAAGAUGGUAAUAGAAAUUGUGCUGCCAAACACUUUUUGACACAGGAAGAAAUACAGCCUCUCUAAUUUCAAAUAUAAAUGGAAUCCGUGUGUCCUUACCCUGGAAAAGAGGGCAGGGGGGCAACAUGGCUGAGUCUUUUUCGUGAAGAAAGGCACUUUCAAGUAGUAUGAAGUUGAAAUGAGGAUGUAAAGGAGAGUAGACAUACGGAUGAACACAGAACACAGUGACUUCCCAUUAGAAGCCCAGUAAUUACUGUGGAAAAUCUCCAGUCAUAGGGGAGCCUCUUCCUGCCAGUGGGAGCACAGUGAGGCAGACCAAGGAAAACUUGUGGAGAAGACUGUGAUGUUAUUUCUCCCUGUAUCUUUGGAGAUUCACUAGUCUCUGAUAAAUCGUUUGCACAAAAUCCAGCCAGGCCUGUAGCUUUUCUGGUAAUUGGUUUAACUAGUAACAGGACAUUAAUCCUAAGGCAAAACUAUACAAAUGGUAAAAAAUACUAUCCAUAUUUAUUUCACAGUUUUAAUUAUUCUUUUCUACACAGUUCUACCUACUUCAUUAUUUAGGUUUCUAUAAUAAUCAUGUCAUAUUUUGAUUUUUCUACAAGAUAAUUAAAUUCUACAAUUGACAUAUAUCUUAAAGAAUAAUAGACUCUAAAAAUGUCUUCCUUCCCAUAAUUUCUCAUUCAGGAUUUUCCAAGGUAGAGUGUCCUCAGUGCUUGGGGCAAGAAUUGUUGCCCUGUUCAACGGCUGUGUUGUAUUCAUAAUUAACAUGCCAAUUGCUUUGUUUUCCAGAAUUUCCAAAAGUUGAUUUCUAUGGUAGUAAAGUUUUCUAUAUAUUCAAAGAAAUUAGGUAAAGAUCACUGUGGACAAAAUACUGGUAAGUUAGAAGAAGUGAGAAGGCAAGUUACAUUGUUAUUUCAACAGUCAAAUGUUUACUAGAUGGGUUUACUAGAUUGUAUUUAGUAGAUGGGUUGACAUGAAAGUGUUGAGAAAUACUGGGAUUUAGGACUUAUUUUAAAAGUAGUCAGUCCUACUUAAUCAAAUAUUAAAUGGUGAGAUGAGGAGAGAAUUCAAAUGGACAAUUAUGAUCAGGGCCUAAAUAACUGAGUAGAUGAUGAUACCAUUUCUGUGCUAGGGAAGGUUGGGUUUCUCAGACUGUAUAAGAAAGAGAUCUGUUUGGCAGCUUUAUAUUCAUAUUAAAACCAUGGGUUAAGAUGUUGAUUUUUGAGGAAGAGGUAGGACUCUGGGGUGUAGGGGGAUGUUGGGGCUUGAGAUAUUACUGGGGAUUAACCAAUGAAGGUUUGUUACUUAUGGCCACUGGAAAGGAUGAGACCUAGAGAUGGAAUAUAUAAGAUCUUGGAUCUAUCAUUCAGAUAUUGAGUAAAUGAGGAGGAUCCAUCAAAGGAGACUGUUAAUGAUGGAUAGAUUCAGUUAGUGAAAACUAAAGGGUUGUAUUAUCCCAGAGGGGAAAUGAAGAAUGAGUUUCGAAAAAGAAAGGGGUAACAGGUAGCUUUCAUAUGGCAUUGAAAGGCACAACAAUUAAGUUUGGAAGUAAAGAAA